rnacentral:rRNA from 1 species
GACAGAGGCCUCAAGCGUUAGGCGGAAUCACUGGGCUUAAAGCGUGUGUAGGCGGACUUCUAAGUGCCUUGUGAAAUCCCCAGGCUCAACCUGGGAACUGCGUCUGAUACUGGAUGGCUUGAAUCCGGGAGAGGGAUGCAGAAUUCCAGGUGUAGCGGUGAAAUGCGUAGAUAUCUGGAGGAAUACCGGUGGCGAAGGCGGCAUCCUGGACCGGCAUUGACGCUGAGGAGCGAAAGCCAGGGGAGCAAACGGG